CCUGGGGGCUGUGGCAGACAUUCAGACCCGCGUGCCCCGGGCCAGGCAUCUGGCCAUCGCCACUGCUGUGCACCAGCAGCUCUGCGAUGAGAUGGAGCCGCCCAGCCCAGAGCACAGAGCAGAGCUGUGCCGCUGCAUGGUGCUGCAGGCCCGAAUUUGCCCGGAGGAGACCAUCGAGUUCCUCUACUACAAGCUGAGGAACGGG